GGCCUCGUAGCUCAGUUGGCUAGAGCGUUGGCUGUACUAAAGCCUUUCCUUUGCUGUCGUGGGUUCGACUCCAACUGAGACCG
rfam:Schistocephalus solidus strain NST_G2 genome assembly, scaffold: SSLN_scaffold0005133